rnacentral:piRNA from 1 species
CACUGGUAGAGUUUACGGUAAAGAU